CUUGACACCCAUAAGAGGUCCAGCCUGCCCAGUGACUCUGUUCAACGGCCGCGGUAUCCUAACCGUGCGAAGGUAGCGUAAUCACUUGUUCUUUAAAUGAGGACUAGUAUGAAUGGCACCACGAAGGUUAUACUGUCUCCUUUUUCUAAUCAGUGAAACUAAUCUUCCCGUGAAGAAGCGGGAAUAAAAAUAUAAGACGAGAAGACCCUAUGGAGCUUUAAACAAACAUACAAUUGCCUUCUUUUAUGAAUAUUUCAGAAGAAAACUUUUAUUUAGGCAUUUUGAUAUAGAGUUUUAGGUUGGGGUGACCACGGAGUAAAAAACAACCUCCGCAAUGAAAGGGGCUCUUCCCCUAAGCUAAGGGUAACAACCCUAAGAAUCAAAAAAUUGACACCAAUUGACCCAAUAUACUUGAUCAAUGAAC
rnacentral:rRNA from 1 species